GAAGAGGAAAUGUAUGUCACAAAGCAGCAUUUCACAGAGAACAGCAGGGAAAGACAGGAUGGUAACCCAAUUAAAGGCAGAUCAGAAAUCUUUCAAAGCUGUUUGUAAAGAAACAUACUAUCUCCAAGCUCCGGUGACUGAAUGAAAAGAGAUUACAUGGAGCAAGGAAUCAGGUGAUCUGCCUUGCAAAAUUUUCUUUGCCUCAGAGAACAAAAUCCAAGAGCCCAUUUCAUCAGCCUUGCUCCUUUGGUCACUGUUGAAAUCUUCUGCUUUUAUAUUCCUCAGUUCCUGAUCUGGCAGACCCUGCACCCAAGAAAAAAGCCUUGCUAUGUCAUGUUAGCAAGGAAAAAAUCUAAGGAGCUUGCAAGGUCUUCUGUGUUUAGAGGCUAUGUCAAACAGCAUUACUUUUUUUUGUGCCUGGUUGCUUACUAGAAAAAUUGUCUGAAGCAAAUUACCUUCUUUAAUUCUAAUAUUUUGUAUCUUUCUGUUCUUCCUUGCCUCUAGGCCUCCUGGUCAAAAAAAUUAUUUUUAGAUUACUUCUUUUUAUGUAACUUCCAUGGAAGAAUUCAGCAUGCUCCUUCCACAUGAAUAUCUGCACUAUGAGCAGGCAGAUGAGGGAUGAUUUGAAAAGAACUUCUGUGGAGUCUUUGUGCUACAGCUUCCUGAAGGCUCUGACUUACUGUCUUUUCCUUUGCUUCUACAUCAGCAUCUUGUCUCCUCAUAUGCAGCUUUUAAGUAUAUUUUUAGACAGUUGAACAAUUCAAACACUUUGCCUGCAGCCAGCAUUUAAACUUAGACCUGUAUUUUCAGAAAAAAAUAGAUUACAAGUUAGAAUGGCUAUUUAGAAGUUUCAAAAAGGUCAAUCUCCUGCUGACAUUUUUACAUACCUUAUUUUUGUAGCUGACUAUAUUUCAGAUGAAAAAAUCCUCUACAUUAUAAAGAAACAUAUGUUUAAAGAGAAAGAAAAAGAGGUCACUAACUUCUGUCAUAAAAUGUAGACCUUUAUUUACCUUUACUUCUCAGAUUAGAUCAGUGGGACUGCUCUAGUCCAACCCAGACAACAAUUUAAUGAGAUGCUAAAGUCUGUGUUCGAAGUUCUUGUACUGCAUCUCACACAUCAUGCACACAAGGUCUGGUUCAAUUAAUACCUUCUACAUUUGCUAGCUCUUUUUUACUAAAACCAUUUUUGUAGGUUAGGCAGGGUAACCAGAAUUGUAUUGCUGUGUUGUGUGCUGUCUGUUCUCCUGUAGCUGGCCAAAACCAGUAUAAACCUCUUCUCAGGAGUCUUUGUGAGCUGAACAAAAGCACACUUGCAGCCCACACACUUCAUUUCAUCCAAGAGGACACAGGUUCUGCUUUCAAGUGGGGAACCACAGCCCUAGGAGGUACAUGGAGAUGAAAACCAACUGAUCUCAGCAGCUGUCAGUGCUUACAGUGCUCAGAUAUUCAGAUAUGCUAAGACAACCCCUUGUCUUACAGGUCCCAGACCACGGGAUUCAUUGGAAAAUACCAAUCAAGCUUAACAAACAGAUCAACUUUCCUUUAGGAAAACUCCAGCUAUCCCACAGCCUCUCUUCCAGUUCAGGUAUCUCCUGGGAAAUUGUCUCCAUCGAGAGUAUGAAGAUCCUACAGAGAGAUGAUGGGUGGCGAACUCCCAACAGAUUUUGCCAGGAAAAGAAAUCAGUGAUUCAGAGGAUGUCAUUCCUUCCUUGCCAGUAAAACCUGUCUUAGGUAUCCAGCUGGCCUCAGGAUGAUCUGCUGACAUCAACCUUGGCAGCUGAAGACUUGCUUGAUCCCACAGGGCCACUCCUGGUCGGACUCAUCCACCAGUCACCUCUUCACUUUUUAUUUGCUAUUUCUGCUGGAACUAUAUGUCCCUCUCAUGCCUCCCAUAUGAAUGACACUAGCCACCAUGAAAAUGUCAGGAUCUUCAAAGACUGCCACAACUACAGCCUUAAUACUGGGAUACUUUCCUUUCCCACACUGUUAGCAGCGUAGUUUUUCCUGGCAAUUGCUUCAGACAUAUCCUGUGAUGUUGAAUUAGAGGAGACUGAGCAGAAAGAAGAGCAGAACACCAGUGGUAUGACUUGACCUUGACAGUCAAGGAAAAUAGUAUUCAGGUGACUAGUACAGUGGAUGGAAGAGUGCCAAAAGAAUGGGACUACGUAAAGAAAAGCAGUUGUGAUGGGGCUGUAUUAGAUGGACAAUUUACUGCUUUUCAGCUCAUCUGUGUUUUCUCUCCAUGCCUCUGUCUCAGUUCUCCUUGGAUGUCCCAGGAUACAAGUCACAAAUGACACUUGAAGAGAAGGGAAAUCUACAGCAACCAACCAGCCUAUUGUCUCAUAUGUAAAUGCAUUACCUGAAUAUACCAUCAUCCUUAGCCUAAACCUGCUUGUUGAUCCCGACUCCUCUUUAUGUAAUAUUCUUUACUUUUACUGUAUUUUAUUCUUAGAUAAAAUCUGAAAAUGCAUGGAUUCUUUUAGUAUACUCAUGUGUCCAAACUCAAAGCCAGAGUUUGUGAGUAGGUCCUUAGCAGAUUAUAAGGUGCUUUUCACCAUUUUACACAUGGUAAAAUAUUAAAUUGAUUUAUUGUAAUAAUAUAUUGCUACAAGAGUUAGUCUUGAAAUCAUGGAUCAUCAACCAGAGGACAAAUUAGCCAUCUAAUGUGCUCUGGGCUUUAUCUUCUGUGACAACCCUGGAAAAUAUUUUAUGGUGAAUUUUAAUGCCCUCUUUAGGUCAACUUUGAGCUGUAAUUUGUCGUGCAUCAUUAAUUUAAAAGUCUAAACAAGAGCUGAUAUUAAUUAUUGCUUCAUAGUAGCUGAACAUUUUAUAAAGCUGCAGUAAUAUUACUGUUCUUAAUCUCUACCUACAAGCAUCUGGCUGCUGAGUAUUUGGUACUCAGUGCUUAUUUUAUUUUAUGCAUUGAAUUUGCACCUACUAGGAAAAAUACUACAAUAUAAAGCAUGAGAUUAUGGUAUUCAGUUUUUAACCUUCUGUGUGGUAUUUGACAUGCACAGAGAUUUUCUUAGCUCUAGAAAUCAAGACCAGCAACCACAGAUAAUAUUUUCAAAGCUGUCAGAAACUGCACUCUUUUUUAUACCCUUAGAUAGAAGUGAUCAGAUUUUUAGAAACAUAAAAACUCCAUUGAAACUCCAGCUGAAAUCAAUGAAGUGUAAUUAUUAGUAUUUCUGAUUAGCAAUAGUCCACAUUGACUCUCAUGUGUUUGUCUAGUCAUACCUCUUUUACUUCUUUAGCCCAUACACUCCCAUUAAACAGCUGUUAUAUUAGAAAAGUAGUUCCUAAAUCUGAUAUUAAUGUUUCACAGCAGUGGCUGUGGCACAAAGGCCCUUCCCAUAACACAGGUGAUACCAAUACAUUAAUUGCAACUGAUGUCUCAGAGAACAGAUUUGUAAUGGUUUAGAAAUUACUGUGAGUGGAUAAAAAUAAUGAAGAGUAACGUCAAGGUCUAAAAACUUGUCUUUACAUACUUUAAUAAUAUGAGAAUGUUUUAAUUCCAGGUCUAAUCAAUAGGUCUGCAAAGGCUGAUAAACAAAAGAAAGAGGGGUAGGACUACUGUCAGAGUUUUCCCUUAGAAAAUUGCCGUGAGGACACGGUGGGAGAGGUGAAGAUUCCUUCUCGUCAGGCAGCUAAAAGGCAGAGAUUUCUUUCUUCAACCCAGUGACUCCUUGGCCUCUCCUGCCACCCUGCCCCUCCUGCCUGAAGGAGCACCGAAAUGAAGGCUGCAAAUCCAGUCCUGAGCUCCCAGCCCCGUGAGCAGAGAUGCUCCGGCCGCUGCUGAUACUGCACGGGAAGGGGAGGAGGAGCAGGAAACCCCCUGAUAACCUUCCUCACCCUCCAUCCGAACGGCAGCUUGAAGGACCUGCCUCCAUCCUGCCCUGAAACGAGGGCUGUGAUUUAGGCUGCCCCACCUUUCGGAGCCGCCGGGUUUGUUUCCUUGGCAGCAGCAAUGCGGCCGGGCCAGUCUGGCUGAGCUCAGCAGGCGGCCCCGCAGCCGGAGCAGCGCUGCCGCUCGCCGCGAUACGCUGGACUUGCGUAUCCAGAGCUGAAAUAACAACCUCGGUUCACGCAGGGGGCAGAGCUUUGGACUCAUCUCUGCUUGAGAGGCCUGGUUAUUUAUUAAUUAUAUUUAAAAUUUUAUAACAGCUUAAAAGGAAUGCGAGCCAGAGGCAACACUUCCAGUGAAGCCUCCCUUGUGCAAUGCUUGUGUAAUUCUCUUGGUUUAGUGCUGGUUUGUGAAGCUACGAUAGGCUCCAGACUGUUCCCUUCUCUAAUGCCUCCACCGGCCCUGGUGAUUUCUUCAUCCUUUGACAUGGGAAUGUUCUGACAUACAGAUCCCCCCAAAAGCACUACUGUGUUUUGAAAUUGCAUAACACGGGAGUCCAGCAGGAAGACCAAUACAAAAUCUUUCCCAAUCUCUUUCCAAGAAAAAAUUGAAAUAUUCCUGCCUUUUUAUACCCUUUUGCUGCGACUAGAGAGAAUAUUUUGCAAGCCACUUUCCUUCUCCUUGAAGUCCCACUUGCCAUAGUGAAUGAGAUGAGUGUGGUUGAUAGGCUGCAGGAUCCAAAUAUCUGAUAAAGAGCCUGACAAAAUUAAAGUAUCAAGGAGUGGUGUAAGUUAACGUGUUCGGGUAAGUUCAGAAUUGAGGUAUACUGGCUUGUUGAUUUGGGAAAUACUUUGAUAAAUAUAUUUAUGAUUUUCCACUACCUUUUAUGUAGUGCAAAGCAGCCAUUUAUUCAGUACUAGGCACUUCUGAAGUAGAAAUUCCCUAGUGUGAAUGGUUUGACUUCAAAACACGGGGGAAAUUCAUUUUGGCUGAGCCUAUUUGGGGCAUGAAUAACUAAGGACCGGACACUGCCGAAAAACUGCUUGUAAAGGUACCUGGUGAGCCUACUCCGGGUUUCCUCUGGCAUCCUGGCACCUGCCCCAUUCCAGGCAGCCGCUGCCAUCUACAGCCACCUGCUGGCUCAUCCCUGCAUCCUGAAUGUUCUGCACAAGCUCCUGUAAGGCAUAAGGAGAAGAUGGGGUGUCAGUAUUUCAUAGCACCGAUAUCCUUUUAAACAAAUAUCACCUAUUUAAUCUGAGCAGAGCUUCUCGUUCUGAACACACCUGUUGAGAACUUUUACUGCCUUUGUGCUCUCUUUUAAUCAUUUUACAUGAGCCAAGUUUCUUCCACACACUUAGCACAUCUUAGCUAAUGGAAACAUAACAGUUUUGCAUGGAAGAUGGGUAUAAUUAUACCCAUUUUGCAGCAGAGAAUACUGAGAAUUAAGCCAGUGAAGCUCAAGGUCUCUGAGACCUUGGUAGGGACCCUUGUCUGACCAUUCCUGCCUGCACAGUUUGAUACUUGCUGGGGUUUCUUGCAAUGCUGGCCCCAAAGAAGGAGAGACUGGGAAAUAAGAUCUACUGCACCUUGUUGGAAGAUACAUGAAGAGUCCCUGGAAAUCUUUUCACCCUCUGUCCUUCCCUACAGGUGAAUUUUGCUUUGCAGAAUGCAAGCAGGGAAAGGAUGGCCUGAAAAACACAAUGCAAAUUCAAAAUGUAUUGCAGAUGAGCUGUGGGUUGUACUUUGAUUUACCAAAUUUGCAUAGCCAGUAUUAGCUAUACCCUAAUGUACUUAAAAAUAUGUUAAUAAAUUAAGAAGUGCUUAGAAAAUUAUAUGCAAACUAAAUAA